ACGAACGCUGGCGGCGUGCUUAACACAUGCAAGUCGCACGGAAAGGCCCUGCUUUUGUGGGGUGCUCGAGUGGCGAACGGGUGAGUAACACGUGGGUAACCUGCCCUUGACUUUGGGAUAACUUCAGGAAACUGGGGCUAAUACCGGAUAGGAGCUCCUGCUGCAUGGUGGGGGUUGGAAAGUUUCGGCGGUUGGGGAUGGACUCGCGGCUUAUCAGCUUGUUGGUGGGGUAGUGGCUUACCAAGGCUUUGACGGGUAGCCGGCCUGAGAGGGUGACCGGCCACAUUGGGACUGAGAUACGGCCCAGACUCCUACGGGAGGCAGCAGCGGGGAAUAUUGCACAAUGGGCGGAAGCCUGAUGCAGCAACGCCGCGUGCGGGAUGACGGCCUUCGGGUUGUAAACCGCUUUCGCCUGUGACGAAGCGUGAGUGACGGUAAUGGGUAAAGAAGCACCGGCUAACUACGUG
rnacentral:rRNA from 1 species